rnacentral:tRNA from 1 species
GGCCGGCUGGGCGGCCUUCGCCGUGGCGGCCGUGGCGAGGUCGGCGGGUUUGACGCCGACCAGGGGCAGGAGCGCGACCUGUCCCGGCUG